rnacentral:rRNA from 1 species
UACGUAGGGUGCGAGCGUUGCCCGGAUUUAUUGGGCGUAAAGGGCGCGUAGGCGGCCACGCACGUCCGUUGUGAAAUCGCUCGGCUCAACUGGGCGGGGUCAGCGGAUACGGAGUGGCUGGAGCAAGCUAGGGGGCAAUGGAAUUCCCGGUGUAGUGGUGGAAUGCGUAGGUAUCGGGAGGAACACCAGUGGCGAAGGCGGUUGCCUGGAGCUUUGCUGACGCUGAUGCGCGAAAGCGUGGGGAGCGAUCCGG